CAAAAGAGCCCCCACCCGCCCGUCGCACACUCGGCUCUCGCUCGCCCGCUCGCUCCCCAUCCCUGCCCAGGCCGCCCGCUCGCUCACACGCACGCAGGACGCACGCACGCUCGCUCGCUCCUUUGCUCGCACACGCAGGCACGCAGGGCUCGCCCGGAGCCGCGGGGGAGUCCGUGUCCGUCGGGAGGAGAAGGAACGAACGGCCGCUCGCCGGGGGGGAGUGCGCGCACCUCACACUCACGCUCGGCGCUUGCACACGCACGCUGCCCUAGCCCCGCAGCCCAGCGGCCGCCUGAGGCAGGAGGAGCCCAACGCCCCCCGGACCCAUGGCGCUGAAGCGGAUCCAGAAGGAAUUAAGUGAUCUGCAGCGUGACCCUCCUGCCCACUGCUCAGCAGGACCUGUGGGAGAUGACUCCCGACAGCGCGUAUCAAGGUGGAGUCUUCUUUCUCACUGUACAUUUCCCAACAGACUAUCCUUUUAAGCCACCAAAGAUUGCUUUCACAACAAAAAUCUACCACCCAAACAUAAAUAGCAAUGGAAGUAUUUGUCUUGACAUCCUGAGGUCACAGUGGUCACCAGCUCUGACUGUAUCAAAAGUUUUGUUGUCCAUAUGUUCACUACUUUGUGAUCCAAAUCCGGAUGACCCCUUAGUACCAGAUAUUGCACAAAUAUAUAAAUCAGACAAGGAAAAAUAUAACAGACAUGCGAGAGAAUGGACUCAGAAAUAUGCAAUGUAAAUUGGAAGCUUUUUUCCUAUAUCCCAGAGUACUGUAAAUUCUAGGUUUUUUCAAUAUUAGAAGUAAAUCGAGCACCGUUUACUGUUCCAGUGUACCCUGAAACCCUUUGAUUUUUACCCAUUUGAAAUGUGUUUCUGGAGCAAGACAAAACAAACUUCCAAAAAUAACCUUAAGACUGUGAUGAGAGUAUUUAUCCUUUUGUAUGCUUUGCAAAAGACAUUUAUUAUGGUUUUUAAGAUACUUGGACAUCUGCAUCUUCAGCCUACAAGAUCCACAGUGCAGUUGUAAAGCAACCAAAUUAUUUUUUGCUGAUACUAGAUGUUUUUACAUGAGAUACUGUAUGUGUUUGUCUAAGAUGUCGUCAGUUUUAUAAAUCUGUAUUCAGAUUUCAUUCUUUGUUAGCUCACUAUAUAAUUUGUAUUUUUUUACUGUAUAGACUAAAUAUAUUUUAUUUACCAUGUAAGUCAACUCAUUAGACGUUCUCUUCCUGUGCACAGUAUUGACAAAAUACAACUGCUAGUAAUGAAACGAAUGAACGCUUUGCCUCCUUCUCUUGCUUAGGAUAUUCCGUAGACUGAUUGCAGAUUCUUAAAACCUAACAUGAUCUUUUACACUGUAAUUCUCAGUAUGCUGAUUAUGGAGAAACACUUGUUUUGAUUUUGUUGCAUACUUGACUUAAUUUUAUUGCAAUGUGAACUAAUUGCACUGCUAAGUAGGAAGAUGUGUAACUUUUAUUUGUUGCUAUUCACAUUUGAUUUUUUUCGUACGUACGGGCAAUAUAAUAUUCUCACGGACCUUUUACAGAUCUUACUGUAGCUUUUUCCAUAUAAAUAAAAUGCUUUUUCUACUACUUGUCAUGCCUGUUUUUACAACAAGACUCAUUACUAGGUCUAUGAGAAAGGAUCUGAAUAUUGUAUAUAGUUUUGCAUGCAAAUUGUUGAUGAGGAGUACUCCAAAUUUUGAAAAUAAGGUCUGCCUUAUUCAGAGUUCAUGUAUUUAAUUUUCAUUUGUUAUUAUUACAUUUCCUGUAUAAAUCUUGUCUGACAUGAAAUUAGCAUCCCUUAACAGGAAAUCAUUGUACUAACAAAUAAUUCCUGUAACUCUUGCUGUAGAGCAGAAUUCAGAAUAUUGUGGGUCUGUCAUGAUCCUGGUGUUGAGGCGCUUUUGUUUGUUUAUCAAAGAACCAGAAGGAAUCUCUUAGGGAAGAUGAUUUCCCCGUUAUGGUAGGCCUGUGGGAUGGACCCUGAGGAUGGCACUUGUAGACAUGAGGCCUAGUUUAAUGAAUUAGUCAAAGCUAAUAUAUGUCUACAGGUGCAUGUUUUAAAAAUCAGUUUGUUCAGUAGGUCUAACUUUCAUUUUAUCCUCAAUAUUUAACAUAGAAUUACUAAUAUAGUAUUUUAGAAAUGGAUUCUCAAUUUUGAAUUAAAUCGAUUUUUUACUAUAGAAGUUUUAAGAAGACACUAAAAUCAUGCAUGUUUGAGUCUAUUUUUGUGAGUAGCUUGCUUCCGAGCCCCAAAUUGACUUGUGUCAAACUUGCAUUAUUGCAUAACGAAACCUUUGAAGAAAAGACAUUUUCUAAUCAUUUGACUUUACAAGCUAGUACCGACUUCCAUUUGUCUAGUGAGGGACGGUUUUGGAAGCCCUGCAUCAUGCUCUCAUUCGGUCCUCAUGAUGAAGCCCAUGAGGGGAAGCAGGCCGAGCGGGAGCGAACGCUCCCCUUGGACGGAGAUACUUGCACACGGUCACACAGGAAGGGAGUGAUAGAGCCAGAAUUUGAACCCGAGACUUCUGAUUCUAGGGCCAGUGCUAUUCCCCUACACCAAGGUGCUAUUAUUAUUAUUGUUAUUAUUAUUAUUAUUAUUAUUAUUGGUGUUGUUUUCUUUUUUCACCGCCUAUGUCUUUAACACCGUCAUUUUUCCUGUAGUAUUGCAGUGGUUCUCUAAAUGUACACCUCUUUGUGAUGGAUUUAUGACAAUAAUUUAAAUCGGUUGGCUAUCUUCUGGAUAGAAAGUUACAGCACAAAUAAGCUUAUGAAAAAAAUAGAGAUGUCAUGUGUUUUAUAAAUGUAUGUAAAAUAUUUAAAUGAAUUGUGAAAUGGAAACUUAAAAUGUGAUUGUUUAAAAAAAAAAAUCACCUCAUCCUUUGAGUAUUCAUGGUCGAGUCAUCUGAAAGAUACUUUAUAUUCUGGGCUACUUUCUCACUGAAUUUGAAAUGGGGUUGAGGUAGCUAGAACGAAGCUCUUGGUCUCACUGGGGUUGGAUAAUUAAUCUACUUUGGUAGUAAAAGACUUUGUUGGCUGGAAUAUCCUUAUAGCUUUUGUUUUGUGACAUUCAUUUAUGGAAGUAUCAUUUUUUUUCUUGCAUUAAAGUUUCUGAAACUUGAAAAAAAAAAGUGUUUUCUUUUGCUUUAUUUAAUUGAGUUCUCUUUCCUUUGCUUUACUAGUUCUGCUUCAUACAGAAAAAAAGUC
ensembl:lncRNA